rnacentral:rRNA from 1 species
UACGUAGGGGGCAAGCGUUGUCCGGAUUUAUUGGGCGUAAAGCGCGUGUAGGUGGCCAAGCAGGUCCGCUGUGAAAACUUGAGGCUCAACCUCAAGAUGUCGGUGGAAACCGCUUGGCUAGAGUCCGGAAGAGGAGAGUGGAAUUCCUGGUGUAGCGGUGAAAUGCGCAGAUAUCAGGAAGAACACCAAUGGCGAAGGCAGCUCUCUGGGACGGUACUGACACUGAGACGCGAAAGCGUGGGGAGCGAACAGG